rnacentral:misc_RNA from 1 species
AAAAGAGCUUCAUCCCCCUUCCCCCUAACAACGAAGUGGAGGAAGGGUUUCCAGCUCCAGCUCUACAGAUUCCAGUAGGAUAAAAGAUGAGCACACUAGAUGCCACAAGAGCAGAGCUCGGCCUGCUAGUCUUAUAUCUGAACAAAGCCGAAGCCAGAGAUAAGAUCUGUAGGGCCAUCCAGUAUGGGUCAAAAUUUGUGAGCAACGGAGAACCCGGACCAGCACAAAAUGUCGACAAAUCAACUAGCUUGGCCCGUAAGGUUUUCCGAAUUCUCAAGUUUGUGAAUGAUUUGCAUGCUCUUAUCAGUCCAGCCCCCAAAGAUACCCCUCUUCCACUGAUAUUACUUGGAAAGUCAAAAAAUGCACUGCUGUCAACUUUCUUGUUCCUUGAUCAAAUCGUAUGGGCAGGAAGAACUGGGAUUUACAAGAACAAGGAACGAGCUGAAAGACUUGGCAGAAUUGCCCUUUUCUGUUUUAUGGGUUCCUCGGCUUGCUCCAGCAUCGUUGAGCUGGCAGAGUUUGGAAGGCUAUCUGCAUCAAUGAAGAAGUUAGAGAAGGGGUUGAAGCACGGUGAUAAAUAUCAGGAUGAGCAGUACUGCAUCAAGCUCAAAAAGUCGAAUGAGAGGCUGCUAUCGUUCGUGAAGGGAUCGUUGGAUGUGGUGGUUGCUAUCGGGCUGCUUCAGCUGGCACCGA